GCCAGGAUGGCGGAAAGGCUAUGCUGUGGACUGCAGAUCCAUUCAUCCCGGUUCGAUUCCGGGUUCUGGCC
rnacentral:tRNA from 1 species